rnacentral:lncRNA from 1 species
AUGAGAAUUCCUAAAAGCAAGGGCGGAUCCAACUUGGGACAUGGGGGAACGAACAAACAAACUGCUAUACAGGUUAAGGCUCUGAAAUUAAAAGAAGAGCUUCUUCCAGAUCUAGAAGAGAAGCUAGGGUUAACGAACGCAAGCAAAUUCCAGACAAAAGUACUCCCGGUGGGAGAGAGAGAUGAAUCAGGAGGAGGAUGUGGAUGCUCACCAGGAUCCCCUGCUCUGCUCUGCUCGCCGGAUGGAGAUCGGCGCCUCCUCCCCUGUUCAGCCGCGGCUCGUCAGGAGACCACGGGACGGGAGAUUUCUCGUUCUUUUGCGCCGAAGGGAAGGAGGGGAAGAUACUCGAGUAAACUGAGGUUUUUUCUUAGGGCUCACACGAUUUUUCGGCCAUUGGAUCAAAAUAAACGAAUGGACAGGAUUGAUACACUAAAAUGUACAUGCAAAUCAAACUUCUGCAUAUAAAUGGGCCAUC